GAAGAAAGAAUUAGGGCUGGGCACUUGGACCUCAGCCCAAACACCACAGAGAUCAUCUUCCAUGGUAAUGUAUUUGGCAUCAGGAAACCACUGUUCACUGACUCUGAACUUUGCAACCCCAUUCCCAACGGCUCUUGAAGCCAUUGGCUUCACUGACAGAGGCACAGCAGAGUGGCUGAGAGGCAGAGUGGAGCAGCAGCGAAGGAGAAAAGAGAAGUAGCAGCCAGACAUCAGAGAGAAACAGCUUGAUUUCAGAGGGACAGCUUGACGAUGGGACUUCGGAGAAGAGUUCAGCCAAGGAUGGCCGAACUCCAGGGUUCUAAGAUGAUUUCUUUGGUUCGAGGCACAUUUUCUUGCAUUUGUAUUGAUGACGGGAAGGGAAGCUGGCUAUCUGCAUAUGUGUUUACUUGACAACAGACAAGCUGAAGAGGCAUCGGAAGACCAGAGGGCAGCCCAAGCAGUCCCUCUAGUCACAACACAGGCACAUAACAUACGCAGAUGCCUUCUUAGGAAAGUAGUCAUGGGGAUUGGGGAAGUUUUGAGACAAGACAAAUGGCCAUUGAACUUGAAUGAAAAUAAACCAACCUGAAUGAAACUUUUAAUACUGAGAGACACUGAACUUACUUUAAUUAGGAAGUUUAAGUAUUUUUUCCUUACUACUCAGUUAUAGAAACAUAAAGAAUGCUCCAAUGUUUACAUAUUUCAGUGUGGUGGAUAAAAAUCUGACCCUACUACAAUGAGACUAACAAUUUUGGCUUCCUUAAUUUGGAACCUUACCCAUUGGAGACCUUGUUUCCUGGUCUCCCCAGAUCCUAUCCCCUUCCUGGUUCUGCGCCAGAGAAACGGGUACUGGGUAGAAAGCUGCAGUCCAUACUGGCUAUACUGCUAGUGAGCUAUAUGACCACUCUGCCUCUUAAUUUUCUAACCCAUAAAAUGGGAAGACUAAAAUAAAUGAACCUUGAAAUCUUUCCAGCUUAUGGAUAUUUUUUUCACAAUCUUCCCCCAUCCCAGCACUUUCUUCUCUUUCUCUUCAGGGUGUAUUUCAA
rnacentral:lncRNA from 10 species